rnacentral:rRNA from 1 species
CGGCGUGCUUAACACAUGCAAGUCGAACGAGACGAUUUAGAAGCUUGCUUUAUGAGUCGAGUGGCAAACGGGUGAGUAACGCGUAGACAACCUGCCGCAAAGAUGGGGACAACAGUCCGAAAGGACUGCUAAUACCGAAUGUUGUAUCUCCUCCGCAUGGAAGAGAUAUUAAAGAUGGCCUCUACGUUGUAAGCUAUCGCUUUGCGAUGGGUCUGCGUCUGAUUAGCUAGUUGGUGGGGCAACGGCCUACCAAGGCGACGAUCAGUAGCCGGUCUGAGAGGAUGAACGGCCACAUUGGAACUGAGACACGGUCCAGACUCCUACGGGAGGCAGCAGUGGGGAAUCUUCCGCAAUGGGCGAAAGCCUGACGGAGCAACGCCGCGUGAGUGAAGAAGGCCUUCGGGUCGUAAAGCUCUGUUGAAGGGGACGAAUGUUGCGCUUAUCAACAACGAGUGCAAAUGACGGUACCUUUCGAGGAAGCCACGGCUAACUACGUG